rnacentral:rRNA from 1 species
UACGUAGGUGGCGAGCGUUGUCCGGAAUUACUGGGUGUAAAGGGCGUGUAGGCGGGAGUGUAAGUCAGAUGUGAAAUACCAUGGCUCAACUGUGGGGCUGCAUCUGAAACUACAUUUCUUGAGUGCUGGAGAGGAAAGCGGAAUUCCCAGUGUAGCGGUGAAAUGCGUAGAUAUUGGGAGGAACACCAGUGGCGAAGGCGGCUUUCUGGACAGUAACUGACGCUGAGGCGCGAAAGCGUGGGGAGCAAACAGGAUUAGAUACC